rnacentral:rRNA from 1 species
UGUAGGCCCGGUAAGCGUCAGCGCCACCGGGCUUUUUGCCCAUGCAGGCCAGCGCAUUUGCCUUUGGAACCUCUGUAAGCCCGGCAAGCGUCAGCGCCACCGGGCUUUUUGCCCAUGCAGGCCAGCGCAUUUGCCUUUGGAACCUCUGUAGGCCCGGUAAGCUAAUAGCUCACUGGUCGAGUCGGCCUGCGCGGAAGAUGUAACGGGGCUAAACCAUGCACCGAAGCUGCGGCAGCGACACUAUGUGUUGUUGGGUAGGGGAGCGUUCUGUAAGCCGUUGAAGGUGUGCUGUGAGGCAUGCUGGAGGUAUCAGAAGUGCGAAU